AUUCUAUCUACAGCUGCUGACGUUUCCAGUUUCCAUGCAGGAAGACAGGUAGGAGGAGAUCAUCUGGCAAAGAGAUUUGCAGAGUGUCGGGUGACCGGCAAAGAGAUCUGCAAAGUGUCAGAUGAAGACGACGGGAGGGGUCGCAGAGGUAACAACGACUGGAGUAUAACAUGCAGGAGAUCAUCAUUUGGCAAAGUUCUGGCAAAGAGAUUUGCAGAGUGUCGGGUGACCGGCAAAGAGAUCUGCAAAGUGUCAGUUGAAGACGACGGGAGGGAUCGCAGAGGAAUUAGUGACUGGAGAAUAGCGUACAGGAGUGGGUGAUCCCUGAAUAGCUGCACUAGGAGGAGAGCUGCGGACACAUGCUCCAAAUGUUGGGACAUAUGCGGUAAAGAUGCCGGCUGUUGGGUUUACGGCAGUCAGAAUACUGACACUGGGAUCCUGACACUCUUCAGAAUCCCGACAUUGGAACUCCGAAUGGGCAAGGAUACCGACGCCGGUAUCCCCACGAUCAUAGGUUUAGGGCUGGGCAAGGGGGUUAGGUUUAGG